rnacentral:rRNA from 1 species
UACGGAGGGUGCGAGCGUUGUCCGGAAUCAUUGGGCGUAAAGGGCGCGUAGGUGGCCCGGUGAGUCUUUGGUGAAAGUCCGGGGCUCAACCCCGGAUCGGCCGUGCGAACUGGGGGACUCGAGCACUGUAGAGGCGGGUGGAAUUCCGGGUGUAGCGGUGGAAUGCGUAGAGAUCCGGAAGAACACCAGUGGCGAAGGCGGCCCGCUGGGCAGUGGCUGACGCUGAGGCGCGACAGCGUGGGGAGCAAACAGG